rnacentral:rRNA from 1 species
AGCUUGCUUGUUGGGGUUGUAGGACACUCUAUACGGAGUUACAAAGGACGACAUUAGACGAAUCAUCUGGAAAGAUGAAUCAAAGAAGGUAAUAAUCCUGUAGUCGAAAAUGUUGUCUCUCUUGAGUGGAUCCUGAGUACGACGGAGCACGUGAAAUUCCGUCGGAAUCUGGGAGGACCAUCUCCUAAGGCUAAAUACUCUCUAGUGACCGAUAGUGAACCAGUACCGUGAGGGAAAGGUGAAAAGCACCCCGGAAGGGGAGUGAAAUAGAACCUGAAACCGUGUGCUUACAAGUAGUCAGAGCCCGUUAAUGGGUGAUGGCGUGCCUUUUGUAGAAUGAACCGGCGAGUUACGAUUUGAUGCAAGGUUAAGCAGUAAAUGUGGAGCCGUAGCGAAAGCGAGUCUGAAUAGGGCGUUUAGUAUUUGGUCGUAGACCCGAAACCAGGUGAUCUACCCUUGGUCAGGUUGAAGUUCAGGUAACACUGAAUGGAGGACCGAACCGACUUACGUUGAAAAGUGAGCGGAUGAACUGAGGGUAGCGGAGAAAUUCCAAUCGAACCUGGAGAUAGCUGGUUCUCUCCGAAAUAGCUUUAGGGCUAGCCUCAAGUGAUGAUUAUUGGAGGUAGAGCACUGUUUGGACGAGGGGCCCCUCUCGGGUUACCGAAUUCAGACAAACUCCGAAUGCCAAUU